rnacentral:rRNA from 1 species
AACGAACGCUGGCGGCAGGCUUAACACAUGCAAGUCGAACGGGCCCUUCGGGGUCAGUGGCAGACGGGUGAGUAACGCGUGGGAACGUGCCCUUCAGUUCGGAAUAACCCAGGGAAACUUGGGCUAAUACCGGAUACGUCCGUAAGGAGAAAGAUUUAUCGCUGAAGGAUCGGCCCGCGUCUGAUUAGCUAGUUGGUGAGGUAAUGGCUCACCAAGGCGACGAUCAGUAGCUGGUCUGAGAGGAUGAUCAGCCACAUUGGGACUGAGACACGGCCCAAACUCCUACGGGAGGCAGCAGUGGGGAAUAUUGGACAAUGGGCGCAAGCCUGAUCCAGCCAUGCCGCGUGAGUGAUGACGGCCUUAGGGUUGUAAAGCUCUUUCGGCGGGGACGAUAAUGACGGUACCCGCAGAAGAAGCCCCGGCUAACUUCGUGCCAGCCGCCGCGGUAAGAC